AUGGCUCAUGAAUACAAAAAUUUGAAUGCAAACAGGAAGUUCGUUGUUCAUGUUAUUGGAGGCAAAUGGAAUAAAGCUAACUUGAAACUCUAAAAUGCUUUUAGAGAGAUAUCAGAUGAAAGAGUGUGCAUAUAUCUAGUUAUUAGAGGUAUAUGCCUAUAUGUAUGAAUUGAUGUAGUUGGAGAAAUCAGAUCGCUUCAGUGCAUGACUAUGCUACAGGAUGAUACAAGAUCACAGACAGGAAUUCGAUCAAGAAUCAAACAUAAAUUACAUAAUACUUCAACUAAAUUAAAUGUAUGGCUGGAAUGAAGUUCCUGACCCUGGUGAUGACUUUGGAAAAGCAAAGAGACAUUCUGAUGCCACCUUGUAUUGAGCCUGCAAUACUCCAAAAUGAUUUUGUUGUAUUCAUAAUUUUCUGUCAAAUAAUAUUUUAGCUUAAUUUUCAAAUUUAAGCUAAGUGAACUUUUAUUAUUCUAAACCACAAGUGUAAAAGCCGCUGGCAGAUGUGUUAUUCCCCUUUGAAUUUUAUUCUUUUUGUUUUUUAUGAAACCCAGAUCUGUCUCAACAUUAGAUUAAAAUAAUUUUGUAAUGAUACUAUUUCUUCUUUUUUUGUUUUGUGUCAAUAUCAGCAAUGUUUUCCAAUGGUUUUCCAUCAAACCUUUCCUAACUUUUGCAAAGAAUUCUUCUAAAAAAUUCCUUCAACUUUAACGCGAUGAUUUCCAAUGUUCAAAGAGUUCCAUGGACUUUCAACUGCAUUUUCACAGGGCUGCUCCCAUGGGUAUGUGAGUUUAAAUUUAAAUUAAUUUUCAGACUUUUUUUUUUCAUGCCGUUUUUCCAAACUUUUCCAUGGAACAUGUACAGACGGGUGUUUUUGUGACAUAAACACUUUCUAGUUUUAGUUUAUGUUUGGGAUCAUGCAAGAUAUCUGGACAGUUUUUUUUAAAUUCAAAAUCAAGAAUUUAUUUAAUUCGGCAAAACAAACAUUUUGGUUAUCUUACAGUAUUUGUUCAUUGCUGUGAAAUUGAUAAUUGCAUGCAUUUAAAUAACUUUUUACAUUAUUCUUUUGAUCAUAAAUAUAUGUAUAAAAAUGUAUACAUUGAUUUGUCAAUAGUGUUUGAUUAAUGUGUUCUUACGAAAACUUAAAUAAAAGGCAAUUGAUGAUAUACCUUUUAUUUAUGUUUUGUUUCCAAUAUUUUAUUUGCAAUUUGUUUCUCAUAUGUAAUGAAUGUGAAUGCCUUUUGUUAGUAUUUUGUUACUACCUUUUAUUCAUGUUUUGUUUCUUUGAAACAAAAUAUUAAUAAAAGGUCUCUCUGCCUUUUAUUCAUAUUUUGUUUCCUAUAUUUUAUUUGCAAUUUGUUUCUCAUGUAAUGAAUGUGAAUGCCUUUUGUUAGUAUUUUGUUACUACCUUUUAUUCAUGUUUUAUUUGCCUUUUGUUAUCUCAUUUGCAUAUCAUUUGCUAGGCUAAUAAAAGGUCUUCAAAACAUAACAUUUUAUUUGCCUUUUGUUUCAGCCUUUUGUUACCCAUUUUUUUUUCGU